rnacentral:piRNA from 1 species
ACCCAGGGAAUAGUAGUGUCCAUGUCGGUC